UGAACGCUAGCUACAGGCUUAACACAUGCAAGUCGAGGGGCAUCAGGAAGAAAGCUUGCUUUCUUUGCUGGCGACCGGCGCACGGGUGAGUAACACGUAUCCAACCUGCCCUUUACUCGGGGAUAGCCUUUCGAAAGAAAGAUUAAUACCCGAUAGCAUAAUGAUUCCGCAUGGUUUCAUUAUUAAAGGAUUCCGGUAAAGGAUGGGGAUGCGUUCCAUUAGGUUGUUGGUGAGGUAACGGCCCACCAAGCCUUCGAUGGAUAGGGGUUCUGAGAGGAAGGUCCCCCACAUCGGAACUGAGACACGGUCCAAACUCCUACGGGAGGCAGCAGUGAGGAAUAUUGGUCAAUGGGCGCUAGCCUGAACCAGCCAAGUAGCGUGAAGGAUGAAGGCUCUAUGGGUCGUAAACUUCUUUUAUAUAAGAAUAAAGUGCAGUAUGUAUACUGUUUUGUAUGUAUUAUAUGAAUAAGGAUCGGCUAACUCCGUGCCAGCAGCCGCGGUAAUACGGAGGAUCCGAGCGUUAUCCGGAUUUAUUGGGUUUAAAGGGAGCGUAGGUGGACUGGUAAGUCAGUUGUGAAAGUUUGCGGCUCAACCGUAAAAUUGCAGUUGAUACUGUCAGUCUUGAGUACAGUAGAGGUGGGCGGAAUUCGUGGUGUAGCGGUGAAAUGCUUAGAUAUCACGAAGAACUCCGAUUGCGAAGGCAGCUCACUGGACUGCAACUGACACUGAUGCUCGAAAGUGUGGGUAUCAAACAGGAUUAGAUACCCUGGUAGUCCACACAGUAAACGAUGAAUACUCGCUGUUUGCGAUAUACAGUAAGCGGCCAAGCGAAAGCAUUAAGUAUUCCACCUGGGGAGUACGCCGGCAACGGUGAAACUCAAAGGAAUUGACGGGGGCCCGCACAAGCGGAGGAACAUGUGGUUUAAUUCGAUGAUACGCGAGGAACCUUACCCGGGCUUAAAUUGCAGUGGAAUGAUGUGGAAACAUGUCAGUGAGCAAUCACCGCUGUGAAGGUGCUGCAUGGUUGUCGUCAGCUCGUGCCGUGAGGUGUCGGCUUAAGUGCCAUAACGAGCGCAACCCUUAUCUUUAGUUACUAACAGGUUAUGCUGAGGGCUCUAGAGAGACUGCCGUCGUAAGAUGUGAGGAAGGUGGGGAUGACGUCAAAUCGGCACGGCCCUUACGUCCGGGGCUACACACGUGUUACAAUGGGGGGGUACAGAAGGCAGCUAGCGGGUGACCGUAUGCUAAUCCCAAAAUCCUCUCUCAGUUCGGAUCGAAGUCUGCAACCCGACUUCGUGAAGCUGGAUUCGCUAGUAAUCGCGCAUCAGCCACGGCGCGGUGAAUACGUUCCCGGGCCUUGUACACACCGCCCGUCAAGCCAUGGGAGCCGGGGGUACCUGAAGUACGUAACCGCAAGGAUCGUCCUAGGGUAAAACUGGUGACUG
rnacentral:rRNA from 1 species